rnacentral:rRNA from 1 species
AACGAACGCUGGCGGCAUGCCUAACACAUGCAAGUCGAACGAGACCUUCGGGUCUAGUGGCGCACGGGUGCGUAACGCGUGGGAACCUGUCCUUAGGUUCGGAAUAACUCCCCGAAAGGGGUGCUAAUACCGGAUAAUGUCUUCGGACCAAAGAUUUAUCGCCUUUGGAUGGGCCCGCGUUGGAUUAGCUAGUUGGUAGGGUAAAAGCCUACCAAGGCGACGAUCCAUAGCUGGUCUGAGAGGAUGAUCAGCCACACUGGGACUGAGACACGGCCCAGACUCCUACGGGAGGCAGCAGUGGGGAAUAUUGGACAAUGGGCGAAAGCCUGAUCCAGCAAUGCCGCGUGAGUGAUGAAGGCCUUAGGGUUGAAAAGCUCUUUUACCCGGGAUGAUAAUGACAGUACCGGGAGAAUAAGCUCCGGCUAACUCCGUG